rnacentral:rRNA from 1 species
GAUCAACGCUGGCGGCGUGCCUCAGACAUGCAAGUCGAACGCGAAAGCCCCCUCGGGGGCAAGUAGAGUGGCGCACGGGUGAGUAACACGUAGGUAAUCUACCUUUGGAUUGGGAAUAACAACCGGAAACGGUUGCUAAUACCGAAUAAUGCAGCGGCACCUAAUGGUGACAGUUGUUAAAGCGGGGGAUCGCAAGACCUCGCGUCUGAAGAGGAGCCUGCGGCAGAUUAGCUAGUUGGUAAGGUAAUGGCUUACCAAGGCGAUGAUCUGUAGCCGGCCUGAGAGGGCGGUCGGCCACACUGACACUGACAUACGGGUCAGACUCCUACGGGAGGCAGCAGUCGGGAAUUUUGGGCAAUGGGCGAAAGCCUGACCCAGCAACGCCGCGUGAAGGAUGAAAUCCCUCGGGAUGUAAACUUCGCAAGAACGGGAAGAAUAAGCCGGUGUAAAUACCACCGGCGAUGACGGUACUGUUUGUAAGCUCCGGCUAACUCCGUGC